UACGAAGGGGGCUAGCGUUGUUCGGAUUUACUGGGCGUAAAGCGCACGUAGGCGGAUCGUUAAGUCGGGGGUGAAAUCCUGGAGCUCAACUCCAGAACUGCCUUUGAUACUGGCGAUCUCGAGUUCGGGAGAGGUGAGUGGAACUGCGAGUGUAGAGGUGAAAUUCGUAGAUAUUCGCAAGAACACCAGAGGCGAAGGCGGUUACCUGGACAGUUACUGACGCUCAGGCACGAAAGCGUGGGGAGCAAAAGGG
rnacentral:rRNA from 1 species